AUUAGCUUGUAAUAGCUCAAAAAGCACUAGGAUUGUGCCUUGACUUUUAUAUUUUUUGCGGGAACAAUGGUAUUUAUUGACAUUACAGCAGUUAUGGGAAUGUCAAUAGAAGUGAGCAUUUAGGAGGGGGCAGCGUUACGCGGAGCUUCUUGCUUAUACGGCUCGUGUGAUUAGUUAUUAUUUGAAAGACGCUUUUAUGGCAACAGGUACCGUCAAGUGGUUCAACGAUUCCAAAGGCUUCGGAUUUAUCACUCCGGAUGACGGCGGUGAAGAUUUGUUCGCCCACUUUUCCGCAAUUCAGAUGAACGGCUUCAAGACUCUCAAAGAAGGUCAAAAGGUGUCGUUCGAAGUAACGCAAGGCCCCAAAGGCAAGCAAGCUUCCAACAUUCAGAACGGCUAAACUAAUCACACCGAUUAGCAAGAGCAGUGAAAAACCCCGUUACGACGGGGUUUUUUUU
rnacentral:sRNA from 1 species